rnacentral:rRNA from 1 species
UGCUCCUACGGGAGGCAGCAGUGAGGAAUAUUGGUCAAUGGGCGGUAGCCUGAACCAGCCAAGUAGCGUGAAGGAUGAAGGUUCUAUGGAUUGUAAACUUCUUUUAUAAAGGAAUAAAGUGAGGCACGUGUGCCUUUUUGUAUGUACUUUAUGAAUAAGGAUCGGCUAACUCCGUGUCAGCAGCCGCGGUAAUACGUAGUAUCCGAGCGUUAUCCGGAUUUAUUGGGUUUAAAGGCAGCGUAGAUGGGUUGUUAAGUCAGUUGUGAAAGUUUGCGGCUC